rnacentral:rRNA from 1 species
UGGGGAAUUUUGGACAAUGGGCGAAAGCCUGAUCCAGCAAUGCCGCGUGUGUGAAGAAGGCCUUCGGGUUGUAAAGCACUUUUGUCCGGAAAGAAAUCCUUGGCUCUAAUACAGUCGGGGGAUGACGGUACCGGAAGAAUAAGCACCGGCUAACUACGUGCCAGCAGCCGCGGUAAUACGUAGGGUGCAAGCGUUAAUCGGAAUUACUGGGCGUAAAGCGUGCGCAGGCGGUUUGCUAAGACCGAUGUGAAAUCCCCGGGCUCAACCUGGGAACUGCAUUGGCGACUGGCAGGCUAGAGUAUGGCAGAGGGGGGUAGAAUUCCACGUGUAGCAGUGAAAUGCGUAGAGAUGUGGAGGAAUACCGAUGGCGAAGGCAGCCCCCUGGGCCAAUACUGACGCUCAUGCACGAAAGCGUGGGGAGCAAACAGGAUUAGAUACCCUGGUAGUCCACGCCCUAAACGAUGUCAACUAGUUGUUGGGGAUUCAUUUCCUUAGUAACGUAGCUAACGCGUGAAGUUGACCGCCUGGGGAGUACGGUCGCAAGAUUAAAACUCAAAGGAAUUGACGGGGU